UGUUCUGACAGUGCUCCACCCUUCCACGCUUACAGACUGUAGACGGUGAGGAGCUACAGAACUAUAAAAGCACAGAGGCUUACAUGCGUAGGAAUUGCUGAAGGUAAACAUCAGGCGUGGGUAAUGCUGAGGGAAAGUGGAGUAGUGGAGACGGUGGGUUACUCGUGCAUUGCAGGGUUA